UUCGCCCUUCGGUUGAUCCUGCCGGAGGUUACUGCUAUCGGUGUUCGACUAAGCCAUGCGAGUCAAAUGUUCUUCGUGAACAUGGCGGACUGCUCAGUAACACGUGGAUAACCUGCCCUUAGGUUCGGCAUAACUCCGGGAAACUGGAGAUAAUUCCGAAUAGGUCAAAUAUGCUGGAAUGCUUUUUGGCCAAAAGACCUCGGUUGCCUAAGGAUGGAUCUGCGGUCUAUCAGGUUGUAGUGGGUGUAACGUACCUACUAGCCUACGACAGAUAUGGGUUGUGAGAGCAAGAGCCCAGAGAUGGAUUCUGAGACAUGAAUCCAGGCCCUACGGGGCGCAGCAGGCGCGAAAACUUUACAAUGCGGGAAACCGCGAUAAGGGGACACCGAGUGCCAGCAUUUAUGUUGGCUGUCCACAUGUGUAAACGGCAUGUGUUAGCAAGGGCCGGGCAAGACCGGUGCCAGCCGCCGCGGUAACACCGGCGGCCCGAGUGGUAAUCACUUUUAUUGGGUCUAAAGGGUCCGUAGCCGGUUUGAUCAGUUCUUCGGGAAAUCUGACAGCUCAACUGUUAGGCUUCCGGGGAAUACUGUCAGACUUGGGACCGGGAGAGGUAAGAGGUACUACAGGGGUAGGAGUGAAAUCUUGUAAUCCCUGUGGGACCACCAGUGGCGAAGGCGUCUUACCAGAACGGGUCCGACGGUGAGGGACGAAAGCUGGGGGCACGAACCGGAUUAGAUACCCGGGUAGUCCCAGCCGU
rnacentral:rRNA from 1 species